CUAGCGACUUCUAGAGUUUGAUCCUGGCUCAGGACGAACGCUGGCGGCGUGCUUAACACAUGCAAGUCGAGCGGGGAUUGAUGAAGUGCUUGCACAGAUUCAAUUCUAGCGGCGGACGGGUGAGUAACGCGUGAACAAUCUGUCCCAGACAGGGGGAUAACAGAUGGAAACAUCUGCUAAUACCGCAUAAGACCACAGGAUCACAUGGUCCAGGGGUAAAAGAUUUAUCGGUCUGGGGUGAGUUCGCGUCCGAUUAGCUAGUUGGUGAGGUAACGGCCCACCAAGGCGACGAUCGGUAGCCGACCUGAGAGGGUGAUCGGCCACAUUGGAACUGAGACACGGUCCAA
rnacentral:rRNA from 1 species